rnacentral:lncRNA from 1 species
GCUUGAACCCGGGAGGCCGAGGUUGCAGUGAGCUGAGAUCGUGCCACUGCACUCCAGCCUGGGGACAAGAGUGAGACUCCAUCUCUUAAAAAAAAAAAAAAAAAAAAAAAAAAAAAAGACACAUAUGUUAAAAUUCUGUAGAUUUAGGGAAAAAAAAAAAGACUUGCAGAACCUUAACUGCUCCCACCUCUACCAGAAAUUGCAAAUUACCUACUCAGAGAGUGUGAAAACUCAGUCCAGCUAA